rnacentral:tRNA from 1 species
CAGAAUGUAGCUUAUCUAAAGUUAAUUAUUUACAUUAAUUAGAAAAUUGUUUAUUCUUUCUGA